CACGUAGUUAGCCGGGGCUUCUUGGUCAGGUACCGUCAUUUCUUUCUUCCCUGCUGACAGAGCUUUACAUACCGAAAUACUUCUUCACUCACGCGGCGUCGCUGGAUCAGGGUUUCCCCCAUUGUCCAAUAUCCCCCACUGCUGCCUCCCGUAGGAGUUUGGGCCGUGUCUCAGUCCCAAUGUGGCCGUCCACCCUCUCAGGCCGGCUACUGAUCGUCGCCUUGGUGGGCCCCUACCCCGCCAACAAGCUAAUCAGACGCGGGUCCAUCUUACACCACCGGAGUUUUUCACACCGGGCCAUGCGGCCCUGUGCGCUUAUGCGGUAUUAGCACCUGUUUCCAGGUGUUAUCCCCCUGUGUAAGGCAGGUUACCCACGCGUUACUCACCCGUCCGCCACUCGAAUGCCACAUGAUUUGACCGAAAUCGCAUCAGCGUGGCAUUCCCGUUCGACUUGCAUGUGUUAAGCACGCCGCCAGCGUUCAUCCUGAGCCAGGAUCAAACUCU
rnacentral:rRNA from 1 species